GCACUGCUGAGGAGUCCCAUAAUAGGACGAAACGGCAGUCCAAUGC
rnacentral:hammerhead_ribozyme from 1 species